UACGUAGGGGGCUAGCGUUGUCCGGAUUUAUUGGGCGUAAAGAGCGUGUAGGCGGCCAUACAGGUCAGCUGUGAAAACUCGAGGCUCAACCUCGAGACGUCGGUUGAAACCGUAUGGCUAGAGUCCGGAAGAGGAGAGUGGAAUUCCCGGUGUAGAGGUGAAAUGCGCAGAUAUCGGGAAGAACACCCGUGGCGAAGGCGGCGCUCUGGUACGGUACUGACGCUGAGACGCGAAAGCGUGGGGAGCAAACAGG
rnacentral:rRNA from 1 species